CCUACGGGAGGCAGCAGUGAGGAAUAUUGGUCAAUGGGCGAGAGCCUGAACCAGCCAAGUCGCGUGAGGGAGUACUGCCCUAUGGGUUGUAAACCUCUUUUGUCGGGGAGCAAAAGCCGGACGUGUCCGGCUGUGAGAGUACCCGAAGAAAAAGCAUCGGCUAACUCCGUGCCAGCAGCCGCGGUAAUACGGAGGAUGCGAGCGUUAUCCGGAUUUAUUGGGGUUAAAGGGUGCGCAGGCGGAUUUUUAAGUCAGCGGUCAAAUCGUGGGGCUCAACCCCAUCCAGCCGUUGACACUGGGGAUCUAGAGUGUGCGAGAGGUAUGCGGAAUGCGUGGUGUAGCGGUGAAAUGCAUAGAUAUCACGCAGAACCCCGAUUGCGAAGGCAGCAUACCGGUGCACAACUGACGCUCAGGCACGAAAGCGUGGGUAUCGAACAGGAUUAGAUACCCCAGUAGUC
rnacentral:rRNA from 1 species